CAUGUAGGCGGUCUGUCAAGUCUGAUGUGAAAGCCCGGGGCUCAACCCCGGAAGUGCAUUGGAAACUGGCAGACUUGAGUACGGGAGAGGAAAGUGGAAUUUCGAGCGUAGGGGUGAAAUCCGUAGAUAUUCGAAGGAACACCAGUGGCGAAGGCGGCUUUCUGGACCGAUACUGACGCUGAGAUGCGAAAGCGUGGGGAGCAAACAGGAUUAGAUACCCUGGUAGUCC
rnacentral:rRNA from 1 species